rnacentral:rRNA from 1 species
UACGUAGGGCGCAAGCGUUGUCCGGAAUUAUUGGGCGUAAAGAGCUCGUAGGCGGCUUGUCACGUCGGGUGUGAAAGCCCGGGGCUUAACCCCGGGUCUGCAUUCGAUACGGGCUAGCUAGAGUGUGGUAGGGGAGAUCGGAAUUCCUGGUGUAGCGGUGAAAUGCGCAGAUAUCAGGAGGAACACCGAUGGCGAAGGCAGGUCUCUGGGCCACUACUGACGCUGAGAAGCGAAAGCAUGGGGAGCGAACAGG